rnacentral:rRNA from 1 species
AUUGAACGCUGGCGGAAUGCUUUACACAUGCAAGUCGAACGGCAGCACGGGGGCAGCCCUGGUGGCGAGUGGCGAACGGGUGAGUAAUACAUCGGAACGUGCCCGGUCGUGGGGGAUAACGUAGCGAAAGUUACGCUAAUACCGCAUACGAUCUGAGGAUGAAAGCGGGGGACCUUCGGGCCUCGCGCGAUCGGAGCGGCCGAUGUCAGAUUAGGUAGUUGGUGGGGUAAAGGCCUACCAAGCCGACGAUCUGUAGCUGGUCUGAGAGGACGACCAGCCACACUGGGACUGAGACACGGCCCAGACUCCUACGGGAGGCAGCAGUGGGGAAUUUUGGACAAUGGGCGCAAGCCUGAUCCAGCCAUUCCGCGUGCAGGACGAAGGCCUUCGGGUUGUAAACUGCUUUUGUACGGAAAGAAAAGGCUCUGGCUAAUACCUGGGGCUCAUGACGGUACCGUAAGAAUAAGCACCGGCUAACUACGUG